rnacentral:tRNA from 1 species
GCCCGGGUGGCGGAAUAGGCAGAAGCACGGGACUUAAAAUCCUGGGGGCCCUAGCGCCCGUGUGGGUUCGAGUCCCACCCCGGGCACCA